rnacentral:rRNA from 1 species
CCCUGCCAUUUGUACACACCGCCCGUCGCUUCUACCGAUUGAAUGCUCCGGUGAAACUGCCCGAGAGAUGUAAGUUGAAGGGGAAACCUAGAGAUUUACAGCUCGAAGACAGGUAAACCAUAGUAUUUAGAGGAAGAAGAAGUCGUAACA